UUCUCUACAAAUGUUGGUAACUGUCCAUUUCUUCAGGAUUUCUGUUAUUUCAGAAGAACUUUGCUUCACGGAUUAUUGAUACUCCCCUUUCUCUUCAGAAAGCUCUUCACCUGCCGUUCUCUAUUGCUCAGCCAGAAGUUGCUGAAGUUCCUCUGUAGACAGUUCCUCUAAGUGUUCCUCUGCCAGUUCCUCAACAUCAUCAAUGUCUACCUGCAAGGCUAUGGACUCUGCUGUAGUGACAAUAUCAUCAACCAGGGGAUAUCAGGUGUGGAUGAAGCUUAGCAAGACUGAGACUUGUUGAUCUUGGGGUUAGACCUUUAAAACAGUGUCCCUGAAAGUGGGAUUUGCAUUACCAGUGCAGUCCAGUGAACUGUUAGCUGCCUGCAAUGGGUAAGUAUGAAAAGAAAGAGUGAGCAUUUAGAAACUUUCAAGAGUUUGACAAAAUAUUUGUAUGUCUGUUGAAUUUUAUAAUGCAAAUUUUGAGCUUGGAUUUUGUGUAUUUAAAAGUUCAUUCCUUGGCUGGGGAUUUAG
rnacentral:lncRNA from 1 species